rnacentral:rRNA from 1 species
GACGAACGCUGGCGGCGUGCUUAACACGUGCAAGUCGAACGAUGAAGCUAGAGCUUGCUCUGGUGAAUUAGUGGCGAACGGGUGAGUAACACGUGAGUAACCUGCCCCGAACUCUGGGAUAACUGCUGGAAACGGUAGCUAAUACUGGAUACGACCUACGAAGGCAUCUUCUGUAGGUGGAAAGAAUUUCGGUUCGGGAUGGACUCGCGGCCUAUCAGCUUGUUGGUGAGGUAAUGGCUCACCAAGGCGACGACGGGUAGCCGGCCUGAGAGGGUGACCGGCCACCCGGGGACAGAGGGACGGCCCAGACUCCUACGGGAGGCAGCAGUGGGGAAUAUUGCACAAUGGGCGCAAGCCUGAUGCAGCAACGCCGCGUGAGGGAUGACGGCCUUCGGGUUGUAAACCUCUUUUAGUAGGGAAGAAGCGAAAGUGACGGUACCUGCAGAAAAAGCACCGGCUAACUACGUGCCAGCCGCCGCCGUAA